GCAUGGGUUUUAUAUUAAAGAAAUUCGGUAUGAGAUGGGGAUGCGUUCCAUUAGUUUGUUGGGGGGGUAACGGCCCACCAAGACUACGAUGGAUAGGGGUUCUGAGAGGAAGGUCCCCCACAUUGGAACUGAGACACGGUCCAAACUCCUACGGGAGGCAGCAGUGAGGAAUAUUGGUCAAUGGACGCGAGUCUGAACCAGCCAGGUAGCGUGAAGGAUGACUGCCCUAUGGGUUGUAAACUUCUUUUAUAUGGGAAUAAAGUUGUCCACGUGUGGAUUUUUGUAUGUACCAUAUGAAUAAGGAUCGGCUAACUCCGUGCCAGCAGCCGCGGUAAUACGGAGGAUCCGAGCGUUAUCCGGAUUUAUUGGGUUUAAAGGGAGCGUAGGCGGAUUGUUAAGUCAGUUGUGAAAGUUUGCGGCUCAACCGUAAAAUUGCAGUUGAUACUGGCAGUCUUGAGUGCAGUAGAGGUGGGCGGAAUUCGUGGUGUAGCGGUGAAAUGCUUAGAUAUCACGAAGAACUCCGAUUGCGAAGGCAGCUCACUGGAGUGUAACUGACGCUGAUGCUCGAAAGUGUGGGUAUCAAACAGGAUUAGAUACCCUGGUAGUCCACACAGUAAACGAUGAAUACUCGCUGUUUGCGAUAUACAGUAAGCG
rnacentral:rRNA from 1 species